GACGAACGCUGGCGGCGUGCCUAACACAUGCAAGUCGAGCGAGAGGAGUUCUUCGGAACAAAUCUAGCGGCGGACGGGUGAGUAACACGUGGGCAACCUGCCUUAUAGAGGGGAAUAGCCUUCCGAAAGGAAGAUUAAUACCGCAUAACAUUGUAGUUUCGCAUGAAGCAACAAUUAAAGGAGAAAUCCGCUAUAAGAUGGGCCCGCGGCGCAUUAGCUAGUUGGUGAGGUAACGGCUCACCAAGGCGACGAUGCGUAGCCGACCUGAGAGGGUGAUCGGCCACAUUGGGACUGAGACACGGCCCAG
rnacentral:rRNA from 1 species